AUAAAAGGCACAAAUGGAGUCUAAGUUGAACCAUCAAGUAAGAAAUUCAGGGACUAGAGAAAGCAAAAAGAUUCAUGGCUAGAGAAAACAAAAAGAUCAAGAUCUGACUUGAUAGUAGAAAAAAAGAACUCCAAGUAUAACAAUGAAAAAUUAUAUAUGUAUAUAAAUAUAUAAGAGUAUUAGGAAGAAAAUAAAAGAAAACAUAAAUGAAGGAAAAUACUACAAUAUAUGCUAAUGUCAACUAUCUUCAAAAUCAAGGUUAGUAUUUUAACUGUACUCAUGCAAGAACUAUGCUUUCCUGCAAUCUUAUUUUUCAUAUGUAAUGAUUUUUUUUUCUGGUUUUGGAAAAAGAUUAAACAUAAAACAUUGAAAAUAACA